GACGAACCGUGCGAACGUUGUUCGGAAUCACUGGGCUUAAAGGGCGCGUAGGCGGCUGCGCAAGUCCGGGGUGAAAGCCCCCAGCUCAACUGGGGAAGUGCCUUGGAUACUGUGCAGCUCGAGCGAGGUAGGGGUCGUGGGAACUUCCGGUGGAGCGGUGAAAUGCGUUGAUAUCGGAAGGAACGCCGGUGGCGAAAGCGCACGACUGGUCCUCUUCUGACGCUGAGGCGCGAAAGCCAGGGGAGCAAACGGG
rnacentral:rRNA from 1 species